CUGUAUGUUGUUACGUCUCAGGGGUCCUUCGGCAUCGGGCCUGUCAAUGUCUGGCUGUUCCAGCCAUGGCCUGGAGGCCCCUCCACCCAUGUCCCGCUCCCACCGGCUGGCAGCACCUCUCUCAGGCCCAACUGCCCCUGGCAGACCAGCUCAUGCUAGGGUCCUGCUCCCUGGGGGGGGGGUCUCUGACACCAGGGGUCAUCCACCAGCCAACCAGCAGCAGGCCUGGGGGAGGGCAGACAGGCCAGGGCCUCAUCCACAACUGGGCCCAACAACCUUCCAAUGAGGGGGCAUGGCCCAUCCAGCUUUUAGGAAGGAGCUGUGCAGCGGCAGGGGGAGGGCAGACAGGCCGGGCCUCAUCCACAACUGGGCCCAACAACCUUCCAAUGAGGGGGGCAUGGCCCAUCCAGCUUUUAGGAAGGAGCUGCCCAGCGGCAGGGGGAGAGCAGUCCCUGAGGGGGCAGCAGCCCGGGAGCCUGAGGCCUAGGAGCAGCUUGGAGUCAGGCCCAGUGCCCUCCGACCUUCUCCUGAUGAGCUGGGCUCCUGCGGCUGAGGCGGCCAAACCUCCCUGAAGCCCUAGGGAGCCCCAUCUCCUCCCCCCCCCCCGCCCCGGCCUUGCUCCCCCCUGUGGAGCUGCUGGCCGCCCGGCAGCUGAAACCUGCCCUCUGGGGGCCUGUGGAGACGCUGGCUGCCCGGCCACCUGCUUGGGAGCCUCCCCGAGGAGUCAGUGACAUGUCUGUUCAUCUGGGAAGUGGGAGGAGCCAUAAACCACACUUGUCCAUGGGGGAAGUGGCUAGCUCGGCUCCCCUCAGUCUCCUGGGGCGGCUGAGAGGAUGGAGGAGAGGAAGACAUAGAAGGGGGAGUGCUCCCAAACCAAGGUGGCCACGGGCAGUUGGGGACCAGCCUUGUUGGGCAUCCGCUGGGCAUGCCCUGAAAAGAGCUGGGAUGCAGAGAGGGUACUGCCAGGUAUUUGAGACCACCUUGAACAGCGGAGCCCACUCUCCCGAGGUGCCAUUGGAAGAAUAAAACGUGAGCCAGUCCUGGCUGCAGGAUACAGAAGAGUCUGCUUCCGGGCCAGUUUGUCCUUGGAGGAUACUUCCACCUCCCAGGCCCUCAGGUUGGAAACCUUGGAGUCGCCCUGGACACCACACUCUCUCACCCACUAUCUCUCAGCCAUGUGCCAAGGCCUGUGCCUGUCACCUUGGCAGCAUCUUUCCCCUGCUACCCCAACCCUCCUCCCAGACCCUCCUUCAGCCAUACCUGGACCCAGACUGAGGCAGUCCGAGUUUCUGCCUGUCUCACUCCAGCCCCAUUCUGGGACUCAGUGAUCCUGCUAGCUCUGGGCCCCCCUCCCCCAAUGUACUCCAAGACCAAAUGAAAAAUUCGGUUUGUUAUCUAAGUCGUUCAUCACGUGAGCCCCUCUCUUGGUCUUCUUACUGCCCCCCCCCAAUAAAAGAACACCCUCCAAGAGGUACCUGUCUCCAGACACAGAUUGCCUCCCGGCUGUGGUCAUUUCCCAGGGCUCCCCCCCUUCCCUGAAUCC
rnacentral:lncRNA from 1 species